rnacentral:rRNA from 1 species
AUUGAACGCUGGCGGCAUGCCUUACACAUGCAAGUCGAACGGAUCUAGGGGCUUGCUCCUAGGUUAGUGGCGAACGGGUGAGUAAUGCAUCGGAACGUACCCAGUCGUGGGGGAUAACGUAGCGAAAGUUACGCUAAUACCGCAUACGAUCUGAGGAUGAAAGCGGGGGACCUUCGGGCCUCGUGCGAUUGGAGCGGCCGAUGUCGGAUUAGCUAGUUGGUGAGGUAAAGGCUCACCAAGGCGACGAUCCGUAGCUGGUCUGAGAGGACGACCAGCCACACUGGAACUGAGACACGGUCCAGACUCCUACGGGAGGCAGCAGUGGGGAAUUUUGGACAAUGGGCGAAAGCCUGAUCCAGCCAUGCCGCGUGAGUGAAGAAGGCCUUCGGGUUGUAAAGCUCUUUCAGACGGAAAGAAAUCUCCUGGGUGAAUAUCCCGGGAGGAUGACGGUACCGUAAGAAGAAGCACCGGCUAACUACGUGCCAGCAGCCGCCGUAA